GACGAACGCUGGCGGCGUGCUUAACACAUGCAAGUCGAACGGGAUUUAGUAAACGGAAGCCUCGGUGGAAGAUUACUAAUGAGAGUGGCGAACGGGUGAGUAACGCGUGAGCAACCUGCCUAUGACAGUGGGAUAGCCUCGGGAAACCGGGAUUAAUACCGCAUAAAAUCGUAGAAACACAUGUUUCAACGGUCAAAGAUUUAUCGGUCAUAGAUGGGCUCGCGUCUGAUUAGCUAGUUGGUGAGAUAACAGCCCACCAAGGCGACGAUCAGUAGCCGGUCUGAGAGGAUGAACGGCCACAUUGGAACUGAGACACGGUCCAAACGCCUACGGGAGGCAGCAGUGGGGAAUAUUGCACAAUGGGGGAAACCCUGAUGCAGCGACGCCGCGUGAACGAAGAAGGUAUUCGUAUCGUAAAGUUCUGUCCUAUGGGAAGAUAAUGACAGUACCAUAGAAGAAAGCUCCGGCUAAAUACGUG
rnacentral:rRNA from 1 species